rnacentral:rRNA from 1 species
AGUGAACGCUGGCGGUAGGCCUAACACAUGCAAGUCGAACGGCAGCACAGUAAGAGCUUGCUCUUACGGGUGGCGAGUGGCGGACGGGUGAGGAAUACAUCGGAAUCUACUUUUUCGUGGGGGAUAACGUAGGGAAACUUACGCUAAUACCGCAUACGACCUACGGGUGAAAGCAGGGGAUCUUCGGACCUUGCGCGAUUGAAUGAGCCGAUGUCGGAUUAGCUAGUUGGCGGGGUAAAGGCCCACCAAGGCGACGAUCCGUAGCUGGUCUGAGAGGAUGAGCAGCCACACUGGAACUGAGACACGGUCCAGACUCCUACGGGAGGCAGCAGUGGGGAAUGUUGGACAAUGGGCGCAAGCCUGAUCCAGCCAUACCGCGUGGGUGAAGAAGGCCUUCGGGUUGUAAAGCCCUUUUGUUGGGAAAGAAAAGCAGCAGGUUAAUACCCCGCUGUUCUGACGGUACCCAAAGAAUAAGCACCGGCUAACUUCGU